GUUUGAUCAUGGCUCAGGAUGAACGCUAGCUACAGGCUUAACACAUGCAAGUCGAGGGGCAGCAUGGUCUUAGCUUGCUAAGGCCGAUGGCGACCGGCGCACGGGUGAGUAACACGUAUCCAACCUGCCGUCUACUCUUGGACAGCCUUCUGAAAGGAAGAUUAAUACAAGAUGGCAUCAUGAGUCCGCAUGUUCACAUGAUUAAAGGUAUUCCGGUAGACGA
rnacentral:rRNA from 1 species